rnacentral:lncRNA from 1 species
AUGGUUAAAAAAGGAAAAAUUGGAUUUUCAAUUCAGCCUAUAAUUCAGGUGGUUAUUUUUCAAUUGACUUUGAAUAGGAUAUUUGUUGAGGGUGUCGUAAAUUAGUAGUAUCUGAAAAUAUUCUUUAAUUUUUUUUUAAUAAAAUGUUUAGAAGUAAAAGAGAAGUAUAUUUAUAAUUUCUCGAGAAUAUUAAAAGGGGAUUUGAACCCCAAAAUCCAUCCUCACAGUAACCAUGUAAAUGGCAUUUCUCAUGACUCCACCUAAAAUUGAGGAGUACAAACCAAAAAGGAACUGAUCCAAACAAAAAUUAUGGUUCGCACUUAUCUCUUCCCUUGUUGCAC